AGAGUUUGAUCCUGGCUCAGGAUGAACGCUGGCGGCGUGCCUAACACAUGCAAGUCGAACGAGAAGGUAGAGUCAAGUGCUUCGGUAUGCGACUUUACUGGGAAGUGGCGAACGGGUGAGUAACACGUGGGUGACCUGCCUCGAAGUGGGGGAUAACCAUUGGAAACGGUGGCUAAUACCGCAUGGUCCUGUUGGUAUGGGAAUAUUGACAGGUAAAGCUCAGGCGCUUCGAGAGGGGCCUGCGUCCGAUUAGUUAGUUGGUGAGGUAACGGCUCACCAAGGCGAUGAUCGGUAGCUGGUCUGAGAGGACGAUCAGUCACACGGGAACUGAGACACGGUCCCGACUCCUACGGGGGGCAGCAGUGAGGAAUAUUGCACAAUGGGGGCAACCCUGAUGCAGCAACGUCGCGUGGAGGAUGAAGGUCUUUGGAUUGUAAACUCCUUUUUUCGGGGAAGAGGAAGGACGGUACCCGAAGAAUAAGUCAUGGCUAACUCCGUGCCAGCAGCCGCGGUAAUACGGAGGGUGCAAGCGUUACUCGGAAUCACUGGGCGUAAAGCGCGCGCAGGCGGCCUUUUAAGUUGGAUGUGAAAGCCUAUGGCUCAACCAUAGAACUGCAUCCAAAACUAUCAGGCUAGAGUGUGGGAGAGGAAGAUGGAAUUAGUUGUGUAGGGGUAAAAUCCGUAGAGAUAACUAGGAAUACCAAAAGCGAAGGCAAUCUUCUGGAACAUUACUGACGCUGAGGCGCGAAAGCGUGGGGAGCAAACAGGAUUAGAUACCCUGGUAGUCCACGCCCUAAACGAUGAAUGUUAGUCGUCGGGUAGCUAGUCUAUUCGGUGAUGCAGCUAACGCAUUAAACAUUCCGCCUGGGGAGUACGGUCGCAAGAUUAAAACUCAAAGGAAUAGACGGGGACCCGCACAAGUGGUGGAGCAUGUGGUUUAAUUCGAAGAUACGCGAAGAACCUUACCUAGCCUUGACAUAUUUAAGAACACUUUAGAGAUAGAGUGGUGCCUUCGGGAGCUUUUAUACAGGUGCUGCACGGCUGUCGUCAGCUCGUGUCGUGAGAUGUUGGGUUAAGUCCCGCAACGAGCGCAACCCUCGUCACUAGUUACUAACGGUUCGGCCGAGGACUCUAGUGAGACUGCCUUCGUAAGGAGGAGGAAGGUGAGGACGACGUCAAGUCAUCAUGGCCCUUACGGCUAGGGCAACACACGUGCUACAAUGGCCAGGACAACGAGAAGCGAUACCGCGAGGUGGAGCGAAUCUAUAAACCUGGUCUCAGUUCGGAUUGUAGUCUGCAACUCGACUACAUGAAGCUGGAAUCACUAGUAAUCGUAGAUCAGCUAUGCUACGGUGAAUACGUUCCCGGGUCUUGUACUCACCGCCCGUCACACCAUGGGAGUUGAUUUCACCCGAAGCGGGGAAGCUAAACUGGCUACCCUCCACGGUGGAAUCAGCGACUGGGGUGAAGUCGUAACAAGGUA
rnacentral:rRNA from 1 species